GAUGAACGCUAGCGGGAGGCUUAAUACAUGCAAGUCGAGCGGUAACUGACCGAUAGCAAUAUUGGUUAGCUAGAGCGGCGCACGGGUGAGUAACGCGUACAUAACCUACCCUAUACUGGGGGAUAGCCUUGGGAAACUGAGAUUAAUACCCCAUGGUAUUAUUUGGCCACCUGGUUGAAUAAUUAAAGUUGCGGCGGUAUAGGAUGGGUGUGCGUCUGAUUAGCUAGUUGGUAGGGUAACGGCCUACCAAGGCGAUGAUCAGUAGGGGGCGUGAGAGCGUGGUCCCCCACACGGGUACUGAGACACGGACCCGACUCCUACGGGAGGCAGCAGUAAGGAAUAUUGGUCAAUGGCGGAGACGCUGAUCCAGCUAUCCCGCGUGCAGGAUGAAGGGCCUCUGGCUUGUAAACUGCUUUAGACUGAGACGAAAAAAUGGGAUUUUUCCUUAUAUUGACGGUAUCAGUAGAAUAAGCACCGGCUAACUCCGUGCCAGCAGCCGCGGUAAUU
rnacentral:rRNA from 1 species